GUGGAAUUGAUAGACAAAGCCAAGAAAGCUGUAUGACACAACAAAUUAAAAUCAAAACCAAAGAUUAAUAGUUUACAUUAACUAGGAUCGUCAGCAGUCAAGUCUUUCCACCAAAAACUAAUGGAAAAGAAGGAAGCUACUGCAAAAUCCAGUCCAAGAAAGCAUUUUCCAGCUAAUAAUUUGUAACCCAACCCUGCAUAUCAAGUAGACAAGCUGAUCAGUCAGACAUA
rnacentral:misc_RNA from 1 species